AAGCCUGUCCACCAAAGUGCUUGCAACCCCUUCCAGCCUGGGGUUAUUUGCAAAUUUUAUCAGCAUACUCUCCUCUUAAUUAUCCAAGUAAUUGAUGAAAAUAUUGAAUAUGUCCCCUGCUAUUCAAAAAAAAUAUUAUUAAAGUACUUAAUGGGUCUUUAAUGUUACGUGGCAGCCAGAAACAAGGAGCCAGUAUUAUGUGACCAGCCAACAUGCUGCAGAUCACAAGUAAACCCUUUGUGAGACAGUUUGGGAAUCCUUGUUAAACCAUUUGAGUCACACAAGUUUGUCCCCACUACAGUGAGCUCAUGUACUAAAAAAAAGUAGAUUUUAUUUUCUGUUAAUUUAGACGUUUCACUAAAGGAAUUCUAGUUUUGUUAAGCAGAAUUAAAUUGUAAUUUGGUAGAGAAAUAAUCCUCACUGAAUAGACACUUCAAUGCUCUGGAGAAAAAUGGAUUCUAGUUUGACUGAGUCAUGAGCUUAGAAAAUCACACACUGUAUAUACAUAACAUUUUAAAAUAAUAGUAAUAUGUUAAACAGUGAUCCACCAGUGCUCCAGGGUAUGGUAAGCUGUGGGUAAGGACUGUGUGACAGAUUUACCUGAGUAAAGCACAUACUCGGAUGAACGCAGUGAGUGAGACAUAUUGUAAUAACAUACAUUUACGUAAUAAUAAAAUACAUUUAUCUGAAUUGUAAGCUUAACUGCUGAAAAGUGGAUAAAGGUUCACAAAUUGUUAAAAUGAUCUGUUAUAUAAAACUGCUUAAGAAAAGAUGUGGAGCAAAGGAGACAAAGACGAAGAUAUAAAUAAAAAUAGUGACCAGGUGUCCUGUUUUGGGGGAGUUUUUCUUAUAUAGGUGCCUAUUGCCCCUAAUGCCCUGCCCCAUUUUUUCACAGUUGCUAUCUGGUCACCCUAAAUAAAAAGGGUUUACUGAUAUCAGUCAAGGACUAUGUAUUAUGAAUGGUGAACAAGAGGAGCAGAAAGUCAGAAAUCAGAUGCUGUCCUGCUAUUAUACAGCUCUAAUAAUUUUAAGAGAUGGUAAUUGGAUGACAUGAAACAGACAUAGAGAAGCAGCAUGGGAAGCAGAGUCAGCACUUCUCUCAUAUUGGAAAUUGGAUCUAUCCCACAGGAAAAGGCAAUAUCCUGAGCCAAAGCCUUGUACAGUAAAAACUGGCCCAAUGCAGUAUUAACAUCAAGGGAAUUAUGUCAGAUAAAACUGGAUCCCAAAGCAGCGAACCUAAAAUAUAACCAUAGGAGCUGGAAGCUACCA